GCGGGUAUAAUUAAGUGGUAUAAUACAAGCCUUCCAAGCUAGAAUCAGGGGUUCGAUUCCCCUUAUCCGCU
rnacentral:tRNA from 1 species